rnacentral:rRNA from 1 species
AAGUCGAGCGAACAGACGAGGAGCUUGCUCCUCUGACGUUAGCGGCGGACGGGUGAGUAACACGUGGAUAACCUACCUAUAAGACUGGGAUAACUUCGGGAAACCGGAGCUAAUACCGGAUAAUAUAUUGAACCGCAUGGUUCAAUAGUGAAAGACGGUUUUGCUGUCACUUACAGAUGGAUCCGCGCCGCAUUAGCUAGUUGGUAAGGUAACGGCUUACCAAGGCAACGAUGCGUAGCCGACCUGAGAGGGUGAUCGGCCACACUGGAACUGAGACACGGUCCAGACUCCUACGGGAGGCAGCAGUAGGGAAUCUUCCGCAAUGGGCGAAAGCCUGACGGAGCAACGCCGCGUGAGUGAUGAAGGUCUUCGGAUCGUAAAACUCUGUUAUUAGGGAAGAACAAAUGUGUAAGUAACUAUGCACGUCUUGACGGUACCUAAUCAGAAAGCCACGGCUAACUACGUGCCAGCAGCCGCGGUAAUACGUAGGUGGCAAGCGUUAUCCGGAAUUAUUGGGCGUAAAGCGCGCGUAGGCGGUUUUCUAAGUCUGAUGUGAAAGCCCACGGCUCAACCGUGGAGGGUCAUUGGAAACUGGAAAACUUGAGUGCAGAAGAGGAAAGUGGAAUUCCAUGUGUAGCGGUGAAAUGCGCAGAGAUAUGGAGGAACACCAGUGGCGAAGGCGACUUUCUGGUCUGUAACUGACGCUGAUGUGCGAAAGCGUGGGGAUCAAACAGGAUUA